UACGUAGGUGACCAGCGUUGUCCGGAUUUACUGGGCGUAAAGCGCGCGCAGGCGGUCCUUUAAGUCUGAUGUGAAAGCCCACGGCUCAACCGUGGAGGGUCAUUGGAAACUGGGGGACUUGAGUACAGAAGAGAAGAGUGGAAUUCCACGUGUAGCGGUGAAAUGCGUAGAGAUGUGGAGGAACACCAGUGGCGAAGGCGACUCUUUGGUCUGUAACUGACGCUGAGGCGCGAAAGCGUGGGGAGCAAGCAGG
rnacentral:rRNA from 1 species